CCUACGGGAGGCAGCAGUGGGGAAUAUUGGACAAUGGGGGAAACCCUGAUCCAGCGACGCCGCGUGAGUGAAGAAGUAUUUCGGUACGUAAAGCUCUAUCAGCAGGAAAGAAAAUGACGGUACCUGACUAAUAAGCCCCUGCUAACUACUUGCCAGCAGCCGCGGUAAUACGUAGGGGGCAACCGUUAUCCGGAUUUACUGGGUGAAAAGGCAGCGUAGACGGGAGCGCAAGUCUGGAGUGAAAUGCCGGGGCCCAACCCCGGAACUGCUCUGGAAACUGUGAAGCUUGAGUGCAGGAGAGGGAAGCGGAAUUCCUGGUGUAGCGGUGAAAUGCGUUGAUAUCAGGGGGAACACCGGCGGCGAAGGCGGCUUACUGGACUGUAACUGACGUUGAGGCUCGAAGGCGUGGGGUGCAAACCGGAAUAGAUACCCCUGUAGUC
rnacentral:rRNA from 1 species